GUUACUAGUAAUCGCAGAUCAGAAUGCUGCGGUGAAUGCGUUCCCGGGUCUUGUACACACCGCCCGUCACACCACGGGCGUUGGAGACGCCCGAAGCCGAUUAUCUAACCUGUUGGAAGAAGUCGUCGAAGGUGGAAUCAAUAACUGGGGUGAAGUCGUAACAAGGUAGCCGUAUCGGAAGGCGCG
rnacentral:rRNA from 1 species